rnacentral:rRNA from 1 species
GAUGAACGCUGGCGGUCUGCUUAACACAUGCAAGUCGAACGGAAUCCUUCGGGAUUUAGUGGCGGACGGGUGAGUAACGCGUGAGAAUCUGCCUUCAGGUUCGGGACAACAGCUGGAAACGGCUGCUAAUAUCGGAUGUGCCGAGAGGUGAAAGCUUUAGUGCCUGAAGAUGAGCUCGCGUCUGAUUAGCUAGUAGGAGUGGUAAUGGCACCCCUAGGCGACGAUCAGUAGCUGGUCUGAGAGGAUGAUCAGCCACACUGGGACUGAGACACGGCCCAGACUCCUACGGGAGGCAGUAGUGGGGAAUUUUCCGCAAUGGGCGCAAGCCUGACGGAGCAAGACCGCGUGAGGGAAGAAGGUCUGUGGAUUGUAAACCUCUUUUGAUGGGGAAGAAGACAGUGACGGUACCCAUCGAAUCAGCCUCGGCUAACUCCGUGCCAGCAGCCGCCGCAG